rnacentral:rRNA from 1 species
CCUACGGGAGGGAGCAGUGGGGAAUUUUCCGCAAUGGGCGAAAGCCUGACGGAGCAACGCCGCGUGAGGGAUGAAGGCCUCUGGGCUGUAAACCUCUUUUAUCAAGGAAGAAGAUCUGACGGUACUUGAUGAAUAAGCCACGGCUAAUUCCGUGCCAGCAGCCGCGGUAAUA